rnacentral:rRNA from 1 species
CAAUAGCGUAUAUUAAAGUUGUUGCAGUUAAAAAGCUCGUAGUUGGACUUCUGAUGUGGGACUGCGCCCCGGUAUUUUGCCGUUGGGUGCGGGCUCGCGUCUUCCUCUCGUAGUUGGAUGGUGCACUUAACUGGGUGCCUUCUGAAUAUGGGACCUUUACUUUGAAAAAUUAGAGUGUUCAAAGCAGGCAAUCGCUUGAAUACAUUAGCAUGGAAUAAUAGAAUAGGACUUUGGUUCUAUUUUGUUGGUUCUAGACCGAAGUAAUGAUAAUAGGACGAGUUGGGGGUCGGAUUAGUAUUUAAUUUAGUUCAGAGGUGGAAAUUACUUUGGUAGUUUAUUGAAAGAACUAACUAACUGCGAAAGACAUUUGUCCAA